rnacentral:rRNA from 1 species
UACGUAGGCAGCGAGCGUUGUUCGGAGUUACUGGGCGUAAAGGGUGUGUAGGCGGUUCUUUAAGUUUGGUGUGAAAUCUCCCGGCUCAACCGGGAGGGUGCGCCGAAUACUGAGGGACUUCGAGUGCGGGAGAGGAAAGUGGAAUUCCUGGUGUAGCGGUGAAAUGCGUAGAUAUUGGGAGGAACACCAGUGGCGAAGGCGGCUCACUGGACCGGUUCUGACGCUGAGGCGCGAAAGCGUGGGGAGCAAACGGG